rnacentral:tRNA from 1 species
CCCUUUAUGGCAGAUAUAAUGUGUAGAAUUUAAGCUUCUAAGAUGGAGUUCCUUUAGGGA